UUUAUUUUUCUAAAAUUUGUUUCCUUAAACGUUUUUACAAUAAUUUUGCAAAACCAUUCCUAACUAUUCCUGUUUCUUAUGUCAAAUCAUAUCACAUCAACUAAUAACUGUAUUACUUGAGCAGAAAGUAGAAGAAAAGAAAACUUUGCAAAUACUUUUUGCCUUUUUCUUCCACUACAUUCACACACUAGCCAUUUCAUUUACUCCAAUGUAAAAUUAUACGAAAUUUUCAUUACGUUCAAUGUAAACAAUAUAAUGACAUCUCUUUUUUAUACACAUUCACACAGCGAAUGUUUCUUUUGCCAAAUUGUUUCACUUUAAGAUUUUCUUUGUAUUUCUUGGCUAAAUUUGAGGAACGUAGUGAGAAACAACGAUUCAUUGUUGCUUGGACGUGGCAGCCAUGACGUGAUUUUUUGACUUUGGAUGAACGUAAAACUUAGAAUUAUAAUAAAAAUUAUUUAAUUAAGUUACAGAAAGAAAGAAAAAAUAUCUUGAGAUUCCCUGAAAUUAUUGCUUUGCAAUAAACUCGAAAACGUGUUGUAUACAAUAAUAAAAAAACAACGAAAUAUUAAGAAAGUAAAAAGUGCCGGAACAAGAUUGUUAAAAAGAAAAAUCUUCAUUACUAAAGAAAUCAAUUUUACAACAAAUUACACGCGUCAGAGAUAUAAAGCAGCAUUAAAGCAACAAAAAAUUUCUGGAAUUUUAACAAGUCAACACACACAACAACAAUAACAUCUUUAACAAAAACAACUGUAAAGAUUUUUUUAUGUAUUGAAGAAGAAGAAGAA